GAUAAUAGUUUGAUCUUCCCCAAGAGCUCACAUCGACGGGAAAGUUUGGCACCUCGAUGUCGGCUCUUCGCCACCUGGGGCUAUAUAUGUUCCAAGGGUUGGGCUGUUCGCCCAUUAAAGUGGUACAUGAGCUGGGUUCAAAAUAUCGUGAGAUAGUCC
rnacentral:ncRNA from 1 species